rnacentral:snRNA from 1 species
AAGAUUUUAAAAAUCCUUGU